AGCUUUGCACAGUGGCAAUAUUGUAGCCAAUGAGGUUUAUCUGAGGAGUGAUUACUGCUAAUUGAAAACUUUUCCAGUAUCCUGCUGUGACAGCCUGAAAUGUUAUAUUUUUUCAUCCACUGUAUGGAAUCAAAAUAGAGCUUUUACAAUUUAGUUUUGUAAAAACUGAAA
rnacentral:snRNA from 1 species